rnacentral:rRNA from 1 species
UACGGGGGGGGCAAGCGUUGUUCGGAAUUACUGGGCGUAAAGGGCUCGUAGGCGGCCAACUAAGUCCGACGUGAAAUCCCCAGGCUUAACCUGGGAACUGCGUCGGAUACUGGAUGGCUUGAAUCCGGGAGAGGGAUGCGGAAUUCCAGGUGUAGCGGUGAAAUGCGUAGAUAUCUGGAGGAACACCGGUGGCGAAGGCGGCAUCCUGGACCGACACUGACACUGAGGAGCGAAAGCCAGGGGAGCAAACGGG